GUGCUCACUCCGGCAACACAUAUACUAAAUUGGAAUAACACAGAGAAGAUUAGCAUGGCCCCUGUGCAACAAUGACACGCAAAUUCGUGAUGCAUUCCAUAUUUUU
rnacentral:snRNA from 1 species